UGCUGCAUCACGUGUAACCUC
rnacentral:miRNA from 1 species